rfam:Nicotiana attenuata strain TT chromosome 6, whole genome shotgun sequence.
UGGACAAAUUAUCUUUUUCGACUGUAUUCACGGCGUGAAACAGGGGAUUACACUAUUUUUAAACGGAAAGUGAAUCAACUAACAUAAUAGACUCCU